rnacentral:rRNA from 1 species
GAUGAACGCUAGCUACAGGCUUAACACAUGCAAGUCGAGGGGCAGCAUGGUCUUAGCUUGCUAAGGCUGAUGGCGACCGGCGCACGGGUGAGUAACACGUAUCCAACCUGCCGUCUACUCUUGGCCAGCCUUCUGAAAGGAAGAUUAAUCCAGGAUGGCAUCAUGAGUUCACAUGUCCGCAUGAUUAAAGGUAUUUUCCGGUAGACGAUGGGGAUGCGUUCCAUUAGAUAGUAGGCGGGGUAACGGCCCACCUAGUCAACGAUGGAUAGGGGUUUUGAGAGGAAGGUCCCCCACAUUGGAACUGAGACACGGUCCAAACUCCUACGGGAGGCAGCAGUGAGGAAUAUUGGUCAAUGGGCGAUGGCCUGAACCAGCCAAGUAGCGUGAAGGAUGACUGCCCUAUGGGUUGUAAACUUCUUUUAUAAAGGAAUAAAGUCGGGUAUGCAUACCCGUUUGCAU